UGGAUCCGAUAUGAUAAUGAGUAUUUUAAUUUUUUUUAUGAUUUUUAUCAUAAAAUCAUAUUUUAUGACUUUUUAAAAACUUUAGUUUUAUAGUUUAUCAAUUUUGAUUUUUCACUUUUGAAAUCUAUAUAAUUCACAUCUAUUGAAUUAAUUCGGGUUUUGUGUAUGCUAAACAGGGUAUAUAAUUUUCCUAAUGUGAUUUGGAUGCGUCUCCAUUGGAAAUUAAUAAACUUAAAAUGCUUAAGUUGCAGUAUUUUCAUUUGUGUGCAAUAUAUGAGUGAGAGAGAAGACAGAGAAAAAGUGGUUGUUACUGAAAAAUUCUUUUUGUUAGACACGUAAGAAUCAACUCAAACAUUAACCAAAUCUUGUUUUUAGAGCAGACAUAGAAUCAACUUAGGGCCCCCGUUUGGCUUGGAGGAUUUGGAGGGGGGAUAUUUUUUUUUCCGCUGGGGGGUUGGGGGAAAAGUGGGUAAUAACUUUUUUCCAGGGGCGUUUGGCUAGCGGAUAUUCCCCCCGAUUAUUUUUGCCCCCGGAGGUGGAUAAUUUUUUUUGGGUGGCCUAGACCCCUAAAUAAAGUUAUCCGGGGUAUAAGGGGGUGGGGAUAAAAAAUAUAUAUAUAAAGAGAAAUAAAUGUAUAUUUAUAUAUAUAUAGAUAUAUUCUAUAUAAAAAUAUUUUUAAUAUAUAAAUAUUUUAUAAAUUUUGUUUCUCUCUAUAUUUUUAUAUUUCCUUACUUUCCUCCACCUUAUUCACCCAUUCCUAAAAAGUAUCCAAAACAAAUUAAAAUUUAUCCCCUCUUACUAAUUUAUCCUCCCUCUAAAAGUUAUCCCCCUCCCAUAUCCUCCAGCUAAACGGGCCCUACGUUUCUAGGUGAAACCUAACUUAACUUCCGUUAACCAACUGAACUAAGUAGUCAAGAAAUUUAAAAUCAAGAUUCAAAAAUCGCGAGAUUUAAAAAUGGCAAGGACCAAAACAUAGUUUGAUUAGAGACCACCUUUUACUAUUUACCCAUAAUUUUCAUAUCGUCGACUUCAAAGGAGCUUGAACUCGAUUAAUAGCAUGUUAUGACUGCGUUUCCUUCUCAUUUACCAUGUUCUGGUCCAUGCAAGUUGUUUCUAACUGGAAAUUUGGUGUCGUAUGUGUGGGUACUUCACUGUAUUUGAAAAGCAAAAAAAUAAUAUUAUAUAUAUAUAUAUAUCUGAUAUAUAAAGGGAGCGGAUAUGGUAAUCCACCCGGUCACAAAAUGGAUCCACGUAGAACAUUAUUAUAAUCGACCAUAAUUUACCACAAUCAAUCCAUAAAAAAAAAUUCAAUUUUUUUUUUUUCCACAGAGUUUCAUAACACUUACUAUAUAAUGAUGAAUAACAAACUAUUUUUUACGGUCCAACCCCCUUUAACACUUACCAACAACAACUACCACAACCACAACCGAUUAUAACAUGACCAUAACCUACGAUAACAUUUAUCACAACUGAUCGUAACAUUUUGAUGAUACACGUGGUAUGUAACUUUAGUGUGCAAAACCUCUUUUUCCAGUUUAUUUGACCAGAAAAAUGAAGAUUUUUUAUGCUACCAAUUCACCUUUUUUUUAUAUCAUUUGAAGCUCUUAAAACAUUUAUCGCCAAAAACAUUCGUACUAUUUUCACUUAAUUACACAAGAAACUCUUAAAGCUCUUCGAGAACUUUUAACGACACUUCGAACAUUUGUAUCACAAAAAACUAUCCAACACUUUUUGAUCAAGCAAAUUGCAUUUUGUCCCCAUACCAAAUAAAAACUACACCAAACUGUCCUACAACUUCCAUCUCAAAAGUUUUUAGGUUAAUAAUCUAAAAGGGCAAUGCACACGCACCUAUAAAAUGCAGUAAAAACUAAAACAAAGGCGGCUAGCCGUUGGGCAAAUUUGAGUCACGAAAACCAAAUUCUCCGCAAAUGCACUGUAUAAGACCUAUUUAUAAACCCAAAACUGCAUACUCGUAACCGGGUAGGCAAAUUUAGCAGAUGGAUAUAUGACUAGUAACAAUCAUUUCUAAGACUAUAAACACAAACUCGUAUCAUGAAAUCAUAUAAACGGGUACAAUAAGGUUCACUUAAACAACUACUGGAAUCAGUAACCAUCAAAGACAAAUAAAGUGUCCAAGAUAUUUUUUCAAUCAAAAUGUCCGAAUGGGUCUCACAUAUUACAAAUGUUUCACCUCCAACUCCAAUAGUACAUUCUAAAAUUUCAUGCCCCACGCAAUCCCAUUCAAGCAAUAACAGGGCAGUUUUUUUCUUGCCCAUAGGCAAAGUUAUUCCAGGGAUCUCCAUGGAACAUCUUUUUUUUUCCCUGCAAAACUCGACAUAGGAAAAAUGCUUGUCGUAAAGAUUUAGUUUUCCAGUUACCUCGGGUAUCCAAGAGGUGGAGAGACUCGAACACCCGCCACGGAAAAUACUUACUCCCCGCGAUCAGUUGCCCCGAGAUCUUUGGAAUCCGUUUCCUGCCCCACGUCCACAUUCAUUAGCUU
rnacentral:lncRNA from 1 species